UGAGAGGAAGAUAAUGCACCUGGGUAGAGACCUGAGAGGACCACAAUACAGGAUGAAGCUGGAGAUACUGGAGUGAUCAGAUCACUCAGACCUUUGAGGCGUGUUAAAGAGUCUCCUUCAGAUGCUCUGAAAGCCACUCGGAGGUUUUAAGUGUGAGAUGUGAAGUGUGUUCAACUCUGUCUUUCAGUUUCUGUGAAGCUGGCUCAGCACAUCCAGAGGAGGAGAUAAAUGGCCACCGCAGGGAUGCUGGCAAGGGAUGCUGGGAGCCUCGGAGCAGGGAGAUACAGUUAUGUCACUGUGGAGAGAGCAUGACCCAGAGCCAGGCCCUGUCUGAGAUGACAGAAGUCAGCACAGGAGGCCGCUCGCUCACAUCUCUGGAGACCAGGACGCGGAGAGAGCUAGGGCAGAAGCCAGCACAGGAGGCUGCUCGCUCACAUCUCAGGAGACCAGGACGUGGAGAGAGCUAGGCCUGCUUUCCAGAGACCCAUUUCCUCCAGCUAGAACCCAACUCCUACGGGCUUCACGACUUCCCAAAGAAGGGCUGCCAGCUGGGGACCAAACCAACAACUGCGAGAACCUUUUGUGACUUUGUACAUGGAAGCCACAGCUUCACCGCAGCUUGCCAAGGUGACAACUCUGGAAAGGACAGACCUAUUUUACUUUUAAGUACUAGUAUGUUUGUCCAGGUAACUCCUAUAUGUGCAUCCAGUUCCAGUGGUGCGUCUUCAGCCAGGCCAACUUCAGGAAGAGGGAGGAUGACCCCACAGGGGUGGACCCUUAGGAGAUCAGCUUAGAUGGGCAUCUUGUUUGUGAUCUUCAGUGGGUCAGAAUGAGAGCUAGUAAUGGAUGCCUUUCCUCCUCCUCCUCCUCUUCUUCCUCCUCCUCCUCCUCUUCAGAGGACUGGGAGGAUCACAUCCAAAUACCCUCAGAUUAAUCCAGGCCUGCAUCCAGGCCUGUUGGACAGUUAGGAAACCUCUCACAUCUCAAGCCCCGGUGUACAGGAUUCCACAGACUUCCUCUAUUUAAAAUGAAAAUGUUUUGAAUGAAGAAUUACUUUGGUUAUUAAGACAGGCUAGAAAAGAUUGCUGCUGAUCUUCAUUCCAUUGCAAGACACACUUCUACCUGAGGGCUCUUCCUGAGUAGGAAGGACAAGGAGAGCCAAGCUUCCUAACUUGUCUGAUUGUCGAAUGGUCACCCAAACAUUUUCUCAUGCCAGCAAUCGGUCACAACACAGUACAGAGAGCUGCUGGUCAGCUCCCAUGUAAACCAUUAACCACAUUAGAGAAAAUAGCUGUGAAGAGGGAGCCCUCGGUGGUUUUAACGUCAAAAGAUGUCACGAGAAGAGCCACACAUUAUUAUUGCUGACAAUUUGUACAAUUUGUCCCUGGUGAAAUGUGUGUGUCCCUACACUGCACCAUUUUACAUAACAAUAUGAAAUAUUAAAAGCGAAAAACGUUUUAUAAUAAACAGCAGUUUUGCUGAUUGCGGCUGAUUAUGUUAAGCAGCUUGUACCAUGGGUGUCAGAGGAGACUCAAUAGCUCCUGUAACUAAUCUUCAUGGCUGACCUCUCCCCUCCGCUGAUGAAGCCUAUUCAAAAACCUGCUGCCCUUUGCUCAUUUGCAGAGCGGAUAUUUCUGAACUGUUUUGAUCAUGCAUAUAUUUGCUGAAGUUGUUGCGUACAGGCUUUGCUGUGUGUGUGUGUUCAUGCUUAUGCUUUUAAAGACAUACCACACAUGAAGAAAGAUUCCUGCCAUGACUAUUUCAUGAAUUAUUAAAAGAAAACUCAACUGCACAAAAAAGUAAGGAUGACGAGCAUUCACAACCCUCUCACCAGAUGCCAAUGAGCCUUUAAUUACAGCUGAAGAUGGCUCUUGUGUUUCUCUGUUGCUCCACAGAAACUGUGUGAAGAAAUAUGGCGCUGUUCCCCCUUGCUCCAACUUUAAAAUAAAGGGCAUGUCUUUCCAGGGAA